UCCGGCUUAACGCCGGCAGUCCUUCUAGAGUGCCCAACUUAAUGGUGGCAACUAAAAGCAAGGGUUGCGCUCGUUGCGGGACUUAACCCAACACCUCACGGCACGAGCUGACGACAGCCAUGCAGCACCUGUCUUGGGACUCCGAAGAGGGACCGUGGUUUCUCACGGCUUUCCCCAAGAUGUCAAGCCCAGGUAAGGUUCUUCGCGUUGCAUCGAAUUAAACCACAUGCUCCGCUGCUUGUGCGGGGCCCCGUCAAUUCCUUUGAGUUUUAGCCUUGCGGCCGUACUCCCCAGGCGGGGUGCUUAAUGCGUUAGCUACGGCACGGAAGGAGUCGACACCUCCCACACCUAGCACCCAUCGUUUACGGCGUGGACUAC
rnacentral:misc_RNA from 1 species